AGUCACUACGCUAUGAUCCUAUCACUUGUCUGGACCAGUUGGAAUGGAAGGGGGAGAAAGAACGAGGUAUCUGGGUGAUGACUUUUUAAAAAUGUACUUAUAAAAAAAGGGGGUAAAGACAUGAAUUCGAACUCGUAUGCUAAAGCUUCUCAAGCCAACAAGGUAACCACUCUGCUAGAGAAGAGCUUGUGAAGAUCGUAUAGUUAUCUAUUGUUUAUGUCAUGUUUGUGUUCACCGAGCUCCGGGAUAAAGGGGACUAAUCCAUUGUAUAUCACCACUUCAGUCAAAUAAAAUUUCUUUCGCUUGUUCGAGAUGCAAAACAAGAAACUAAUAAUGACCAAAAGUUAAUGAACUAAUUGUUGAUUUUUUUAAAUUGAUUCAUGUGUUUUCAGGUAACACGUAACAUGUUGAUAAAUUUCAGGUUAAUCCGAGAUUGGGUGUGGAAAAAAUAACGUGUACAACAAACUUUUUACCAGACAGACGAGAGAGUUGAUAUAAGCUUUGUGAUUAUAUACAAUUUUUUUUACAAUUAAAAUUAGAAAGACAUUGUAUCCAAGUUUUACUCAUGCCUUAAUUAAUCUACAUUUAUUUCGGUUCAAAAUUUAAAGACAUUCAGACACAUUUGAAAUGUCCUCUGCGACAACAUAGGAAAGCCACUUAUUACAUUACCCAAAGUGUACAGAUCAGUUAUUAUUUGGCCUUAGACAAAUACACCAAUGUUACGCAGGAGAUUAUUGUUGGGACAAAUAUAUUGUGAAGCUAUUUACAAUCGAUUUUUUUCGUCCUUACUUUCAAUUACCAAUCUUCAAAUUUUCAAAGAGAUUUUUAGCGGCUCCCGAAAGGGAAAUAGACGCUAUUAGUUUUGUGUGGUCUGU